GAGCCCGUGGCUCAAUGGUUAGAGCGUUGAAUUCUGAUCAACAGGUCGCGGGUUCG
rnacentral:tRNA from 1 species